rnacentral:rRNA from 1 species
CCUACGGGGGGCAGCAGUGAGGAAUAUUGGUCAAUGGGCGAGAGCCUGAACCAGCCAAGUCGCGUGAGGGAGUACUGCCCUAUGGGUUGUAAACCUCUUUUGUCGGGGAGCAAAAGCCGGACGUGUCCGGCUGUGAGAGUACCCGAAGAAAAAGCAUCGGCCAACUCCGUGCCAGCAGCCGCGGUAAUACGGAGGAUGCGAGCGUUAUCCGGAUUUAUUGGGUUUAAAGGGUGCGCAGGCGGAUUUUUAAGUCAGCGGUAAAAUCGUGGGGCUCAACCCCAUCCAGCCGUUGAAACUGGGGAUCUAGAGUGUGCGAGAGGUAUGCGGAAUGCGUGGUGUAGCGGUGAAAUGCAUAGAUAUCACGCAGAACCCCGAUUGCGAAGGCAGCAUACCGGUGCACAACUGACGCUCAGGCACGAAAGCGUGGGUAUCGAACAGGAUUAGAUACCCGGGUAGUC